rnacentral:rRNA from 1 species
GGCCAGACUCCUACGGGAGGCAGCAGAGGGGAAUAUUGCACAAUGGGGGGAACCCUGAUGCAGCGACGCCGCGUGGGCGAGGAAGUAUUUCGGUAUGUAAAGCCCUAUCGGCAGGGAAGAAGAAAUGACGGUACCUGAAUAAGAGGCACCGGCUAAAUACGUGCCAGCAGCCGCGGUAAUACGUAUGGUGCAAGCGUUAUCCGGAUUUACUGGGCGUAAAGGGAGCGCAGGCGGCGCGCCAAGUCUGAUGUGAAACCCCGGGGCUCAACCCCGGGCAUGCAUUGGAAACUGUCGGACUAGAGUGUCGGAGAGGCAAGUGGAAUUCCUAGUGUAGCGGUGAAAUGCGUAGAUAUUAGGAGGAACACCAGUGGCGAAGGCGGCUUGCUGGACGAUGACUGACGUUGAGGCUCGAAAGCGUGGGGAGCAAACAGGAUUAGAUACCCUAGUA